rnacentral:rRNA from 1 species
GCAGCAGGCGCGAAACCUUUACACUGCACGACAGUGCGAUAGGGGGAUCCCAAGUGCACAGGCAUAGCGCCUGUGCUUUUCGGUACCCUAAGGCGGUACCAGAAUAAGGGCUGGGCAAGACCGGUGCCAGCCGCCGCGGUAAUACCGGCAGCCCAAGUGAUGGCCGAUCUUAUUGGGCCUAAAGCGUCCGUAGCUGGCCACGCAAGUCCAUCGGGAAAUCCACCUGCCCAACAGGUGGACGCCCGGUAGAAACUGCGUGGCUUGGGACCGGAAGGCGCGACGGGUACGUCCGGGGUAGGAGUGAAAUCCCGUAAUCCUGGACGGACCGCCGAUGGCGAAAGCACGUCGCGAGAACGGAUCCGACAGUGAGGGACGAAAGCCAGGGUCUCGAACCGGAUUAGAUACCCGGGUAGUCCUGGCCGUAAACAAUGUCUGCUAGGUGUGGCUCCCACUACGAGUGGGUGCUGUGCCGCAGGGAAGCCGCUAAGCAG